GGGGCGGAGCCCGGGGGAGAGACGGUUGAGAGACACCGCAACGGCGCGCGGGAUCCUUCCGCCAAACGGGCGGGGGAAAUAGACCCCCCAUGGCGGGAGAGUGAAGUUGCAAAGUUGGCGCGCGCGAGUUGGAGGCGGACUCUGUCGCCCCCAUUCCAGUUCAUGUUUCUCAAAACAAGAGGGAUCAGAGGAUUCCUUUCCAUGAAUGUCUUGCAAGGUGGUUUCCCCAUCGAGAGAUUAAUUAUCUGCAAGCCCUGUCUUCCCACGUUGCUGCAGCAUGGUGUGGGAUGCACCCAUCCAGAUCUGAGCCCCUUUCCUGCUGCUGACCUCGGCUAUGGAGCCUCAGGAUUCUCCUCAGCUCCGCUCAGCCCUCUGCUCCACUUUGCCCACUCACCAACUCACUGUCCCAAGGAGGCUAUCUAAACAGCUCUGCAGAAAGGAGAUUCCACCAAGCCUGCCAACCAGUUUGAGUUCUCAUCCCCGACAUCCCCAUGGAGGAUAAGAGCAAACUACUGCAGGUUGUCCUCUGAUCUGACCUCUGAGCAGACAUACGUACAAAAUAAAAUGUAAUGAAAUUUUUUAAUAAAAAACUACCUCAAAGCUG